UAUGGAAGCUUGCUUCCACUGAGAAGAUAGUGGCGAACGGGUGAGUAACAACGUGGGGUAACCUGCCCAUAAGAGGGGGGAUAACAUCCGGAAACGGGUGCUAAUACCGCAUAGUUUUCUUGAUCGCAUGAUCGGGAAAGGAAAGACGGCCUUUGUGCUGUCGCUUAUGGAUGGACCCGCGGCGUAUUAGUUAGUUGGUGAGGUAACGGCUCACCAAGACGAUGAUACGUAGCCGACCUGAGAGGGUGAUCGGCCACAUUGGGACUGAGACACGGCCCAAACUCCUACGGGAGGCAGCAGUAGGGAAUCUUCCGCAAUGGACGAAAGUCUGACGGAGCAACGCCGCGUGAGUGAAGAAAAGGUUUUCGGAUCGUAAAACUCUGUUGUCAGAGAAGAACAAGUUGGAGAGUAACUGCUCCAGCCUUGACGGUAUCUGACCAGAAAGCCACGGCUAACUACGUGCCAGCAGCCGC
rnacentral:rRNA from 1 species